AAGUAUAUCUUACAAAUAUAGCCACAGAAAGAAGACCAUUGCCUACACCAAAACACGUAGAUCUUACAAAUGUAGCCUCAAACAGAAGACCAUUGCCUACACCAAAACAUGUAGAUCUUACAAAUGUAGCUUCAAACAGAAGACCUUUGCCUACAUCAAAACACGUAGAUCAACAUUUUUAUGGGAAAUCAUCAAACUCUGGAAUUUCUACAAAUAGGCCAUCAUCAUUUCAACAACAGACAGGCGAUCCAGCCAAAAACUUGGAAACAAGUCAAAAAGUUCAACGGGAUAGAAACUACAGAAGAUUAUUAAUUGUUGCUCUAGUGAUUGCAAUAAUCAUUGCCUGUUGUCUACUUCUCCUGGUCAUAUUACUGUCUGCUGGAGUCAUCAAUCAGUCAGCUACUGUACAAUAUCCAGUUUAUCAAACCUCCAUCAACCCGAAAGUAAACAGCUCACAACUACAAGGAACGGAAGAGAAGACAACUCGUGUUAAUAUAGUAACAGGGGAAGUAACCACAAAUCUUCAGCGCUAUACGUCUUCCAUUAGAUCUACGCCUGUCAUUAAAACCAAUGAAAUGUCCAAAUUAACCUAUCCCAGGAUUAUCAUCGGAAACUAACAACAUCCAUUUCUAAAUAUCCAUAUGUUGAAAACAGCAGGCUUUCUUUACCACUACAUAUCUUGACUAGUGGGAGAUUUAAAAAACGGUGGGAUUUUUGUUACAUUCCUAAACAUAAACACACACAUAAACAUGUGACAAGUUGUACAGAAUAUUACUUUUUAAAAUAACGAACUAAGAACAAAAUCAAAUAUAAAAUGUGACUUCUUUAAAACUAACAAAAAAAAGACAAACAAGUCCUCCUUUGUACAGCUUAGAGAGUGAUUAGUUUGUUCUUAAUAAUCAAACGAAAGCUAGAUUUUAAAAUUGGUAAAAAAAAUUCUCUGCCCCCCCCCCCGAACAAAAUAUCCCGGUUAAAGCGAAUGCUCAAAUCUAUUAUAUUUUAUAAGAUUACAAUGAUAGACCUAUAGGUCUGGGUAGAGAUAAAGAUAAUAAUUGUUGACCUCAAAUAAUUCUUCAUUAGUUUGACACGUAUGAAGCUUCUUUCGCCAGAUGUCACAACUACGGGUAAUGUUAAAAAGUAUUUAGGAAAGCAGUCUAUCUUUCAUUAGUAGACAUAAGCUAAAAUUUCUACCGGGGUCUUGACGGUAUUCGGUGGAAUAUGUCAUAAAGAUUCCAUUUCAACUACUAAUUCUCGCCCACACAUAUCUGCUGACUGGUCUGUUGAUGACGUCAAUGCUUGCUGGAGACUGCCGUAUGUCAUCACGCUAAAGGCUCUUAAAGAUCACAAGAAAUCAAAAUAGAUUGUAGUUUUGAUUUCAGCUGUUCAAAAUGUCGGAUUGCAAGGAUUGAAUUGUAGUGUCCACAGUUCUGUUGAAGCAAUUUAUUCUGUAGUCAUCUUCAGCAUUUCCAGGUGUGACGGUUUCCACAGAUUAAUCAAACUUCCUUUUAAUUUGACGUUUGGCUGGAAAGAUUGCAACAACUUCCAUGUUUUCAGCCAAUUCCAAGAAUCUGAACAAACCCAUCAACUCUCAGUUUCCUGAGUCAAGCCGUCAGGUUCUUACUCACAACAUUGACUUGGAAGAACACGUCGUACCAUAACACAAGUGAAACUAUUUUUUAAAAUUAUUAUCUUAGACUUUUUUAGUUGAAUUUGAUAGGGGUUAGAAGUAGGACGUUGACUGAGGUUACUGCACUUAGUGGUUUUAGUCAAUAUUUGGUUUGGUCAAUAUUUGGUUUGGUCAAUAUUUGGUUUGGUCAUUGUUCCCUUUCCCCCUCUGUAUUGAAAUAAAUAUUUACAAAUAACUUCAGUAAUGGUUGGUAAGGCAACAAGACAUGUCCACUAUAGCAAGGACACCAUCCAGAGCAUGGAAACAAAAGUCUGUCACACUGCCCCCCGCACAUCCCUAGCCCUACAUACAAUCACUUUGGUUUCUCAGCCGGAAACACAAACACCCAUCUUUUUUUUUCUGCAAGGAGACAUACUUCUAGCAUCUUUUAUUUGGAACUGGGGCUUUCCUACACUACGACACAUUCUAGUUUCACUAUUCCCCGCUCCGCCCUGCUCCCCCUCCCAAAAAAUAAUAUAUACAUUCUCUGACCAUAAUCAGCAAUCUUUGGCAUCUCAAUUCAAUAUCGAAAUAUUUUGAAGGUUCUAUUUUGGUUUUCGGUCGAAACUUUGGGUGAAACCUUUUCUUUUUGCACCCUGCGCAUCGUAAUGCUCUCCCACAUAGACUUUUGAUCCAUGAACACUAUUAUCCUUAUGUCUACCCUCAACAACAAAAAAACAAACAAUUAAAAUAUUAAAAUACAUUUUUAAGAACAAAGCUUUUCUAAGAAGAAGAACUCCAAAUUUACAACAAUAUUUCUAAAAAAUGUAGAAGUGUCAAGAGCAGGGGCGUGUAAGAUAUGAGAUUGUGUGUGUGUUUGUUUAUUUUAUUAUUUGUCUGUUGUGAACUGUUUUAUCACGGGGUCUUCAAGGGGGGUAAUAAGUGUAUCCAGUGAUCAGUCUAAUCAGUUGGAGAGCUGAACUGGUCUGAGUAGUGUGUUGAUGGUUGUUUUUGAUUAUUCUGUUUAGAGUAAGGAGAUAUUAUUCUGUGUGUGGAUUGCAUAUUUUGGGAAAGGUAUGGUGUUUGAUGAUACCCCUAAGAUAAUACAUUAUUGAAUCUAGUCUAAGCGCCCUUGAAUAUUUAAUUUGGGUACAUUUAAUACUUUCUAGUAUAUUAUGAUUGUGUAUUGUAUAUUAUAUGUGUCAAUCAUGGUAUGUUGUAAAUAAAUACUAAUUUACUA
rnacentral:sRNA from 1 species